UCUGUAGCUCAGUUGGAUAGAGCGUCGGUUUCCUAAACCGCAGGUCGCAGGUUCGACUCCUGUCAGGGG
rnacentral:tRNA from 1 species